AGAGCCCCGCCCGCCCCGCACAAAGGCGCCCGGCCCCUCCGAAACUUUGCGCCCCGGGAGCUCAGGCCCGGCCAGCCCGUGACAGCGGUGACCCACGCCCCCGCCGCACCGGCCCAGAUCGGGCGCCUCGCCUCGGGCGCCCACGCGGAGCAGCGGCUCCCCCUUAGCAGGCGGCCGGGCCGAGCCCACUCCCCGCGCCGGAGCAGCGAGCGGCACGGCAGGUCCGAUCCUGCGUACUUCCCAGCAGACUUAGAGCAAGGCUCUGAAACAGUGCUGGUGAACCCAUGGCACACGUGCGCAGUAGGCUGUUUGAUAUUACUGAAAGCUCUAAAAGGUUUUCCAGCACUGCUCUAAAACCAACGCUGCCCCUGCCCUGCUGAAAUACAGACUCCUCCAUCCACCAGCUGUGUGCCUGGGCCUCAGUUUCUUCAUCUGUAGAAGAGAAGUGAUUGUGGCAUCCAUCCCCUGUAAUUGCUGCCGAGGUCAUGUGAAGCCUGACAAAGAGAAUAUUACCAGGCAUGGAUGCUGUCAUGAUAUCAGACUGCUACAAUAACUGUUUUAAAAUGCUGAGGAAGAAGACAUUUUCAGGACUCUCUGGUGAGCUUUCUCUUGGAAGAAAGGAGUGGAUGCCCAGAGCAAGCAGGAUAUGGAAGAUGGAAGAUGGAAGAUGGAAGAUUCUGGAAGAUGCAGGUUAACAGCUGGAAGAAACAUUUGGAAAAGAGUCUGCAAUGGGAGAGCUGUAUAUUGUAGAAAACUUAUCACUGUGCCAUCAGAUAAAGCAAAUCUCUUUAAAAAUCAUUUUUACUAUAGCUAUUAAAAUCUAACAUCUAUUACAAUUUCUAUCAGACAGGUAUCUGCGGUUAUCAGGAUAUUGUGUUCCUCUGAGGUGGAGUAUGGCCAUCGUCACAUGGAAGUGGUCUUUAUUUCAGAGUAAAAAUAACUGGUUUUCAGUUCUCUGAGGUUCUCAAUACGUAGAGGGCAGGGAAACCAAAUUAUUCUUCAUUGAUCCCAUGUUAACUAGCACAUAAGCCCAAUAAUGGGGAGAAAUGUGGAAAAUUUUCUUUUUAUGAGAGACAUGCCUAUAGUGGAGAUCCAUUUUUAGAGUAAAAAUUAAAUUAUUAUAUGCAAGGAAACAAAAAAAGAGUGAAUGAUGUAUUAUUUAGAAUUUUAGCUUGAAGAGCAAUUUGGAUAAAAGGGACAACAGACACAAUAGGGGAGGAAAGAUAGUAGGGAACUGUUUCUUUAGGAAAAAUAACAGAGAAGAAAUUCAAAACAGGUCGUUUGGAUUCAUGCCCUUACGUUCAGUUCACAGGCACACUUAAUAAAUAAAUGCAAACUGUUAUAAUUAACAUGACAAAAGAAGAUGUUUCUAAUGAUGCUAUAAUUAUUAGAAGAAACUCCUUGUUUAACGAUUCAUUCCUCUCAUAGGAGAGAUCGGGUGUAUGUAAAUUUUCCAAAGUAAGCUAUUCAGCCCUCUCAUAUCUGUGUCUCACCCGUAUCUUACAAUAAUAAAUAUAUAGUUCAUAUUUACUGGAGACAUUAGGCCCAUGAAGCAGAGAGGGACAAGUAGCCCUUGAAAGAAAACAAAAGGACAAAGAAGUUCAUGCUAGUUAUAUGAUCACUACUAAGCAUAUCAUUGUCGCAGGUCAUAUGUUCUACAAGUUGCCACGGAAGUGUUCAGUCUUCUUUCUACUCUUUCAGAACCUUACCAUCCUCUCACCAGAGAACUGGAGUUUAUCUCCCUUCCCCUUGUAACUGAAGGCUGUGUGUAGGUUUGCAACGCAUAGAAUGCAGCAGAAGAGAUUGAGUGACCUCGGAGACUCAGUUAUAAAAGAUCACAUGGCUGUCACCCAGCUCUUUCUCCUGGAUGGUCACCAUUGCUCCCAGCCUCCAUGUUGUGAGGAAGCCCAGCUCACAGUGAGGUUGCAUGUCAACAGUCCCGGCUAUGGUGUUACACAGAGAUAAAGAACUAGAAAAGCUAAUUUGGCCAAGCAGGAGAGAAAUGACAUCUCCCAAUAUGGACUACAACUGUAGAACAGUUGAGAAUAGCAGUGUGUAGAGCACAAGGAGUUUAUUUUAGGUAAGCUGUUGUUUCAGCACAAUACUUACAUCACAGUGGGGACAUAGCACAACUUCAUUUAAUUACAUGGAAACCACAUACUGAUGAAACCAGGUAUCUCGACUUUCUGUGUUUCACUCCAACAAGAAGAUUAAAGAGUCAGUACAAGUAAAGGGGACCUCUGUUACCUAAUCUCUCACAAAUUCUUUCUCCUGUGCUUUCGGUGAUAGCACGCUAUCAUUAUUUCUCUGCAGUUAACGAACUACUAUAUCAUGUGCUUGAUUGAGCUGCCGCUGAGGUUCUUUAGCUGCUUGUUGCAUGGGAAAGGUAAGGAUUGUGUCUGGCUGAGAACAGGAUGCGUCUUCCCCAGAGUGGCAGAGUUAGCACAAGAAUGGAGAAGUCAAGCAAGGGGAGCCAAGCAGCAUCUUCCCAGAGAUGGAUAAAGAGGGGUGCACCUCUUGCUCUACUUAUUCUUUAGCUGUAAGGACACCAGCAGCCAGUUCCUCCUGGAAAAAGUCUGGACUCAUAGAGCCAGGCCAUGGAAUGAGAGGCUCCAUCCAGAGCGAUGGCCCACAAGACCCCAUGGCCAGUCGUGCCCCAUGCUACUUGUGUCCCCUGUUUUCUAGCUAGGGAUCCAAAAACUGCCUUUUUUGGCUACUUGUCAGCAAUAAGCCCUAAAUGGUAUUUAUGGAAACCGUUCAGCCAAUAUGAAUCAUUUUGAGACAUGCACAUAACAGGAACACAAACGCAUGGUUAUCACAAUGUUCUCUUGAGAGGCAAAACGCUCAGGAAAAUACAGCGGGAAAUUAGGCAACUCAGAUCAAAUCACAGCAACUGUUCCAGAACAGCACCUAAAAAGGGAGAUAACUCAGAAACAUUAGAAAAUUCUAAAUGAAAGGAAUUCUAACAUAAAAUCACAAACACAAAGAACCUCAGUAUUACACAAAAGACCUAAAAAGAAAAAAGACAGGAAGGAAGGAAUGAAAGGAAGUGAAAGAAAAGAAAAGAAAGUCAUUUCUAUUCCUUGAUAAUAAACUUGUUGCCAUCUGUUUCACAGUAACACGAUGGUUUCAUUUCCUCCAAAUGAAGCAAAUAUUGGAUAUCAAAAAUUGAGUUGCAAAAAUAAUUGUUUUAAAGGAAAUAAAAGAGGUUAGGCCCUAAACAGUGAUGGAUGGCCCAAAGUAACAUUUUUUUUCCUUGCAGAUAUUUUAAUGAUAAAUGGAUUCUCUAGUCAGAAGUACAUUUUGUACUAAAAGAGGGAAUAAGAGGAAUUUACCCAGAAAGUUGUAUGAACAGCCACGGGUUGUCUUGGGCUAUUGUAAUUCAAGAGUUUGUGAGAAUUCAAAAGGUGCCAAGGCUGAUGCAAAUCAUACCAAAGUUAUAGGAAUGGCCUUUUUAUUUGCAUCCCGAGCAAGGACAGUAAAAAAGGGACCAGUCCAUUUCACGGAUCAGAACGUAGAAAACUAAGUGGUGUGAAGUGGGUGCGGUUCUAGUUCGCUGGCAUCUUCUAUCAACGAGAAUGACUUCCACCCUGGGAAAGGUGGAAUAGAUAGGGCUGUCGGAGUGGAAACCUGAGGUGGAUUGGUAGGUAGUAGAGUGCCAAGGUGCUGAGGAGAGAAGCUCUUGCCUCUGAGUCCAGAGCCUGGUGCCCUGUGUCAUCACCUCUGUGGUCCCCAGCUCAGGGGAAACCGGCAGCACUGGCCAAGGAGGGGCCGGGCAGCUCAGGGAUGCAGUGGGUGCUGCAUAUGUGGAGGGCCUGGGUUUGAGUCUAAGCAACCCCUCCCCAAGAAAGGUCAUUAAAAGUCACUCAAAUUUGUUUUAAAGUAGUAAACUUAGAUGCUAGGAAACUAGACUUUUAUGUAUUUAAAAAUUGUAGGACUUAGUAUUAAAUUAGUUUAACAAACAUUUAGUCAAAAGCCAAACCAAAAGUAAACAAUGAUUGCUAGACGCAGAAGUGCACACCUAAAUUCCCAUCACUUUAGAAGGCUGAGGCAGGAGGAUUUUAAAUUCAAUUCCUACCUGGGCCACCUCCUGAUACUACGUCUCAAAAAAUAAAAUAAAACACUAAAAUGAAAGAAGGCUAUGGAUGUGAACGCCCUGCGUUCAAUUCCCAUUACAAGAAAACAAAAACAAAAACAACAAGAAUAACAAAAGACAAAAAUAGAAAACAAACCACCGAUGAUCCUGUAGAGAUAGCAGAGGUUCAUCAACAAUACACUAUGAACCCUAGAGCACUUUGUUUUCACAAAAUAUU